rnacentral:pre_miRNA from 1 species
AAAAAGACAAACCCUGGGUUUCCGUGUCCAACUUUAACUUUCCGUCUUAUAUGAAAUUUUUUUAUAAUUCGUAUUUUCAUCGUUGUUAGAUGAUAAAACAUGAUUAAUAUUUUAUGCGUGACUUGUCUUUUUAAUUUUUUUCAUAAUUUUUUCAAAUAAGACGAACAGUCAAACGUUGGACACGGAAACUAGGGUUUGUCUUUUU